rnacentral:piRNA from 1 species
UACGGUAGUUUUUAUGGGGAA